rnacentral:rRNA from 1 species
UAGCAAUAUCUUGAAGUCGGAGUGGCGCAAGGGUGCGUAACACGUGGGUAAUUUGCCGUGAAGUUGGGGAUAACUCGCUGAAAGGCGAGCUAAUACCGAAUGUGAUGAUUGGGAGGCAUCUUCUGAUCUUCAAAGUUGGGGACCGCAAGGCCUGACGCUUCACGAUAAGCCCGCGGCCUAUCAGCUAGUUGGUGAGGUAACGGCUCACCAAGGCUAAGACGGGUAGCUGGUCUGAGAGGACGACCAGUCACACUGGAACUGAGACACGGUCCAGACACCUACGGGUGGCAGCAGUCGAGAAUUUUUCUCAAUGGGCGAAAGCCUGAAGGAGCGACGCCGCGUGGGGGAUGAAGGGCUUCGGCCCGUAAACCCCUGUCAUUUGCGAACAAACCUUACGGUCUAACACAUCGUGAGCUGAUUGUAGCGAAAGAGGAAGGGACGGCUAACUCUGUGCCAGCAGCCGCGGUAAUACAGAGGUCCCGAGCGUUGUUCGGAUUCACUGGGCGUAAAGGGUGCGUAGGUGGCAGGGUAAGUUUGAUGUGAAAUCUCCGGGCUUAACCCGGAAACUGCAUUGAAUACUAUCUUGCUCGAGGGUUGGAG